rnacentral:rRNA from 1 species
UACGAAGGGUGCAAGCGUUACUCGGAAUUACUGGGCGUAAAGCGUGCGUAGGCGGUUUGUUAAGUCCGUUGUGAAAGCCCUGGGCUCAACCUGGGAAUUGCAGUGGAUACUGGCGAGCUAGAGUGCGGUAGAGGAUGGUGGAAUUCCCGGUGUAGCGGUGAAAUGCGUAGAGAUGUGGAGGAACACCGAUGGCGAGGGCAGCCCCCUGGGCUAACACUGACGCUCAUGCACGAAAGCGUGGGGAGCAAACAGG